rnacentral:lncRNA from 1 species
CUCAGUUUCCUCAUGUGACAUGUCAGAUUAAAUGAACUCAUGUAAGGAGAGCGCUUGAAAUGGUGUCCCGCACUUUAUUACCAUGAUUCCUAAUAACAUGUCUAUGUUAGUUUGGGUUGCCCCAGAAUUAAUGCAGAAAAUGUUCAUCUAUUUCAGUGAGAUUGCUUGAGCCAAGCUGGAUGCUGGUUUGUCCCGAGGGAGCGAGUAAAUUGAUGCAGGUCCCAUCUUUGGUUUUCGAAGUUCUACUGUGGCCAGAGGAACUCGGAGGCACUGAGCUGGGGGGACCCAGACACUGUGGUUGUUCAGAAGACAACUUUGAGUCCCUUCUAUCAUCUUUUUCACCAUUGAUUUAGGAGAGGAGGCCAACAUACCUUCAAGAGUAUCCCAUGCUAAAAAAGAUCUAAGAGCUCAGCUUCUGCUUGCCCAGAACUUCUGCUUGCACAACUAUUCCUUUCAAGGGAGGGAAGCCUUACAUGAUGCCAUGACCUGAGAGAACUCCUGGCCAUCAGUGUACCAUUCAAAUUUGGUACUUGGAGGGAACCUCACAUCCAACUGAGACUGAAUGUUCAAGGGACUUCCAUACAUGUCACUUCAGCAACAACUCUCCUGUCUUUCAUAGGGCUUUUAUUUUCAAUUAAGUCUAGACAAGUAAGGUAGCUGCUGAAUGGUUGAAUUCUGGAUAAGCGAGAUGUUGCAUAAAUCCAAAUUAAGCCACUGAACAGAUUAUACCGCAAAAAGCAUUGUGUUGGAUGCUUACGUGUAUUCAUUGCGAUCUUUUUCUAUGCCUAUAGAAUGACGGAAAUGAUGAAGCAAAACCCUCAUGAAAGCUAUUCACAGUUUAGCAUUUACCGUCAUACGGAAAUGUCAAUUUCAUCUAACAAAGAGAAUAUUAGGGGCACGUUCAAUAUAAAAUGCAAAUAUAAUAGCUUAGUAGGCUGGUUAAGUCAGCUGUGUUUCACUUAAACCUAUUACCUUGGCAGAUUAAAUACAGUUCCAGACCUUUUGCAAGAAGGAUAUUCUGAUGAAGUUACAUCUUAUACAAGCUUUUGAGACUGUUCCAUAUGAGUAGAAUGAGGACCAAAAUUAGUAAGGAAUAAGAACGAAUGGGACACAGCCAUGGAGAAAUAGGAGGAUCUUGCCCUGCAAACCUUCCAAUACCCACUAAGAAAUAUUGUUAUUUGCUCAAGGAUAAUUAUGAAUAAUUCAUAGCAAAGAUUAAUCUCUCAUGUGAUAAAAUAGGUGAGGAUACCCCAAUCUUUCCAGGCCUGCCUAACUACUUCCAAAUUUUGAUACCUACUUAUAUAACCCAACUCAUCUAAGUAGAGGUUGGGACCACCCUGUCUUGUGAUGCUGGCUGUA